UACAGUGGUCUCAAGCGCUGUUCGGAUUCAUUGGGCGUAAAGGGUGCGUAGGUGGCGUCGUAAGUCGGGUGUGAAAUUUCGGAGCUUAACUCCGAAACUGCAUUCGAUACUGCGGUGCUUGAGGACUGGAGAGGAGACUGGAAUUUACGGUGUAGCAGUGAAAUGCGUAGAGAUCGUAAGGAAGACCAGUGGCGAAGGCGGGUCUCUGGACAGUUCCUGACGCUGAGGCGCGAAGGCCAGGGGAGCAAACGGG
rnacentral:rRNA from 1 species